UACGAGGGGGGCAAGCGUUGUUCGGAAUUAUUGGGCGUAAAGGGCGCGUAGGCGGUGCGGUAAGUCACCUGUGAAAACUCUGGGCUCAACUCAGAGCCUGCAGGCGAAACUGCCGUGCUUGAGUGUGGGAGAGGUGCGUGGAAUUCCCGGUGUAGCGGUGAAAUGCGUAGAUAUCUGGAGGAACACCGGUGGCGAAGGCGACAUCCUGGACCGGUAUUGACGCUGAGGCGCGAAAGCCAGGGGAGCAAACGGG
rnacentral:rRNA from 1 species